rnacentral:rRNA from 1 species
GACGAACCUUGCUAACGUUAUUCGGAAUUACUGGGCUUAAAGGGUGCGCAGGCGGGCGAUUAAGUCAGGGGUGAAAGACGGUUGCUCAACAAUCGCAGUGCCUUUGAUACUGGUCGUCUUGGGUAACCUUGAGGUAGGCGGAAUGGGUGGUGUAGCGGUGAAAUGCAUAGAUACCACCCAGAACUCCGAUUGCGAAGGCAGCCUACUGGAGGUUUACCGACGCUCAGGCACGAAAGCGUGGGGAUCAAACAGG